CCCUUAGAUGUCAUGGGCUGCACGCGCGCUACACUGAUGUGUCCAGUAAGCACCUAACCUCUUCCGAAAGGAACGGGUAACCUUUGCAAAGCACAUCGUGAUGGGGAUAGAUUAUUGCAAUUAUUAGUCUUGAACGAGGAAUUCCUAGUAAGCACAAGUCAUCAGCUUGUGUUGAUUACGUCCCUGCCCUUUGUACACACCGCCCGUCGCUCCUACCGAUUGAAUGUUCCGGUGAGCUCUUCGGACUGCGCGGUCUGCAGUUUCUGCGUUCCGUGCGGAAAGUUGCGCAAACCUUAACAUUUAGAGGAAGGAGAAGUCGUAACA
rnacentral:rRNA from 1 species